rnacentral:rRNA from 1 species
GUGAGGAAUAUUGGUCAAUGGGCGGGAGCCUGAACCAGCCAAGUCGCGUGAAGGAAGUAGGAUCUAUGGUUCGUAAACUUCUUUUGCAGGGGAAUAAAGUGCAGGACGUGUCCUGUUUUGUAUGUACCCUGAGAAUAAGGAUCGACUAACUCCGUGCCAGCAGCCGCGGUAAUACGGAGGAUCCGAGCGUUAUCCGGAUUUAUUGGGUUUAAAGGGUGCGUAGGUGGUUUGAUAAGUCAGCGGUGAAAGUUUGCAGCUUAACUGUAAAAAUGCCGUUGAAACUGUCGGACUUGAGUGUAAAUGAGGUAGGCGGAAUGCGUGGUGUAGCGGUGAAAUGCAUAGAUAUCACGCAGAACUCCGAUUGCGAAGGCAGCUUACUAAGCUACAACUGACACUGAAGCACGAAAGCGUGGGGAUCAAACAGGAUUAGAUACCCGUGUAGUCC